rnacentral:rRNA from 1 species
GUUGAGCGAGUUUUCAUUGCGGAUCCCUUCGGGGUGAAGCUUUGAUUAUCUUAGCGGCGGACGGGUGAGUAACGCGUGAGAAACCUGCCUUUCACAAAGGGAUAGCCUCGGGAAACUGGGAUUAAUACCUUAUGACACUCUAAUUUCGCAUGAGAUAUGAGUUAAAGCGUAAAGCGGUGAAAGAUGGUCUCGCGUCCCAUUAGUUAGUUGGUGAGGUAACGGCUCACCAAGACAGCGAUGGGUAACCGGCCUGAGAGGGUGAACGGUCACACUGGAACUGAGACACGGUCCAGACUCCUACGGGAGGCAGCAGUGGGGAAUAUUGCACAAUGGAGGAAACUCUGAUGCAGCGACGCCGCGUGAAUGAUGAAGGCCUUAGGGUCGUAAAAUUCUGUCCUAGGGGACGAUAAUGACGGUACCCUAGGAGGAAGCCCCGGCUAACUACGUGCCAGCAGCCGCGGUAAUACGUAGGGGGCAAGCGUUGUCCGGAUUUAUUGGGCGUAAAGGGUACGCAGGCGGUCUUUUAAGUCAGAUGUGAAAUCUUACGGCUCAACCGUAAUCAGCAUUUGAAACUGGAAGACUUGAAUCAAGGAGAGGAAAGUGGAAUUCCUAGUGUAGCGGUGAAAUGCGUAGAUAUUAGGAGGAAUACCAGUGGCGAAGGCGACUUUCUGGACUUGUAUUGACGCUGAGGUACG